ACCUUUGCACGGUCAGGAUACAGUGCUAAGGUAGCAUAAUCAUUUGCCUCUUAAUUAGAGGCUUGUAUGAAGGAAUAAACGUGGGUAUAGCUGUUUCACUUUUUUUAAUAAAAAUUAUUUUUCAGGUGAAGAAACCUGAAUUAUUUAAAAAGACAAAAAGACCCUAUGGAGCUUUAUUUAUUAAAAGUACAUUUUAAGAAAACUUAUUUUUCCUACUUUUAUUAAAUUUUGUUGGGGCGACAAAAGAAGAUCUAAAUCUUCUUUAAAUCAAUUAGAAUACACUUCAUUUAUUUUGAUCCAUUUUAUAUGAUUAACGAAGUUAGCUACCCUAGGGAUAACAGGCUAAUUUUCUUUGAGAGCCCAAAUUGACAAGAAAGAUUGGCACCUCGAUGUUGGCU
rnacentral:rRNA from 1 species